AUUACCCUUCUUAUAAGUACUUUUGCUAGAUUGAGUCCCAUCCGGGAUUCGAACCCACAAUCUCAGAGUCAGGCUCCUAAUC